UACGUAGGGUGCAAGCGUUAAUCGGAAUUACUGGGCGUAAAGCGUGCGCAGGCGGUUAUGUAAGACAGAUGUGAAAUGCCCGGGCUUAACCUGGGAACUGCAUUUGUGACUGCAUGGCUAGAGUUGGCAGAGGGGGUGAGAAUUCCACGUGUAGCAGUGAAAUGCGUAGAUAUGUGGAGGAACACCGAUGGCGAAGGCAGCCCCCUGGGUCAAGAC
rnacentral:rRNA from 1 species